rnacentral:rRNA from 1 species
AUACGGAGGAUCCGAGCGUUAUCCGGAUUUAUUGGGUUUAAAGGGAGCGCAGGCGGGCGAUUAAGUCGGCGGUGAAAUUUUGCAGCUCAACUGUAAAAGGGCCUUCGAAACUGGUUUUCUUGAGUGUAGAUGAAGUAGGGGGAAUUUGGGGUGUAGCGGUGGAAUGCAUAGAGAUCACGAGGAACUCCGAUUGCGCAGGCAGCUUACUAAACUACUACUGACGCUCAGGCACGAAGGCGUGGGGAUCAAACAGGAUUAGAUACCCUGGUAGUCCACGCAGUAAACGAUGAUUACUAGCUGUUUGCGAUACAAUGUAAGCGGCUGAGCGAAAGCGUUAAGUAAUCCACCUGGGGAGUACGUUCGCAAGAAUGAAACUCAAAGGAAUUGACGGGG